CACGUAGGGUGCGAGCGUUUGUCCGGAAUUAUUGGGCGUAAAGAGCUCGUAGGCGGUGUGUCGCGUCGGCCGUGAAAACCUGCAGCUUAACUGUGGGCUUGCGGUCGAUACGGGCAUCACUGGAGUUCGGCAGGGGAGACUGGAAUUCCUGGUGUAGCGGUGAAAUGCGCAGAUAUCAGGAGGAACACCGGUGGCGAAGGCGGGUC
rnacentral:rRNA from 1 species